GACGAACGCUGGCGGCGUGCUUAACACAUGCAAGUCGAGCGGUAAGGCCCUUUCGGGGGUACACGAGCGGCGAACGGGUGAGUAACACGUGAGCAACCUGCCCUUCUCUUUGGAAUAAGCGUUGGAAACGACGUCUAAUGCCGAAUAUGACCCCCUGUCGCAUGGUGGGGGGUGGAAAGCUCUGGCGGAGAAGGAUGGGCUCGCGGCCUAUCAGCUUGUUGGUGUGGGUAAUGGCCCACCAAGGCGACGACGGGUAGCCGGCCUGAGAGGGUGACCGGCCACACUGGGACUGAGACACGGCCCAGACUCCUACGGGGGGCAGCAGUGGGGAAUAUUGGACAAUGGGCGAAAGCCUGAUCCAGCAACGCCGCGUGAGGGAUGACGGCCUUCGGGUUGUAAACCUCUUUCAGCAGGGACGAAGCGAGAGUGACGGUACCUGCAGAAGAAGGACCGGCCAACUACGUGCCAGCCGCCGCAGUAACAC
rnacentral:rRNA from 1 species